AACACGAGUGUGCACGCGUCAGAUACGGCGAGUGAAGCGGCAAAAGCUCAAAUUUGAAAUCUGGCACCUUCGGUGUCCGAGUUGUAAUUUGAAGAAGGUAACUUUGGAGUUGGCUCUUGUCUAUGUUCCUUGGAACAGGACGUCACAGAGGGUGAGAAUCCCGUGCGAUGAGAUGCCCAAUUCUAUGUAAAGUGCUUUCGAAGAGUCGAGUUGUUUGGGAAUGCAGCUCUAAGUGGGUGGUAAAUUCCAUCUAAAGCUAAAUAUUGGCGAGAGACCGAUAGCGAACAAGUACAGUGAUGGAAAGAUGAAAAGAACUUUGAAAAGAGAGUGAAAAAGUACGUGAAAUUGUUGAAAGGGAAGGGCUUGAGAUCAGACUUGGUAUUUUGCGAUCCUUUCCUUCUUGGUUGGGUUCCUCGCAGCUUACUGGGCCAGCAUCGGUUUGGAUGGUAGGAUAAUGACUAAGGAAUGUGGCUCUACUUCGGUGGAGUGUUAUAGCCUUGGUUGAUACUGCCUGUCUAGACCGACGACUGCUUCUUUCGACUAUGAUGUUGGCUUAAUGUUCUUAAGCCACCCUCGCUUGAAACACACAAACAC
rnacentral:rRNA from 1 species